rnacentral:tRNA from 1 species
GGUGGCUCAAUGGUAGAGUGCUUGCCUUGCAUGCAUGAGGCCUUGGGUUCGAUUCCUCAGCACCA